CAAACAGAGAAAGCUGAGGAGCUGGAGUAAGAGUACAGUACUGAAUAAGAAUGGAAUUAACCAGCCACUCAAAAAAGGCCACUGUGAUCCCGGGGCACAAAGAACCAUCUGUGGAACUUCCGGAGAACCUUCAUCCGUCAGUCUCCCCCAUGCCAGCACUGCCCGAGGGUGAUAAGGAGGAAUCUCUGCUGCAGUGGUCUGGCUUGUACCUCUGCACAAGGGACUGGAGGAGAUGCCGCAGCCCCCUCUUCAAAGACUAGAAAUCCAGGAAGACCCAGACGGGUCCAACGAGUGCUUCCAAGGUCUCGUGGAAACCUCCUUGCCACCUGAAGAACUCCAGGGUCAGGUAGCAAGAUUCCGGCUGAGAUGAACACGUGAGCCAGUGCUGGGUCAUGCUGGGGGUGCUCUACUGAACAUCAUCAGUCUCCUUAUGGUCUCACAGCCUCCUUAGAAUGGCACUCAGGCUUACCAGAAGUACCAAGGACAGGGCUUUGUUGCUCUUACAGUUCCUGCCCAUGAGCUGAACUGAGGUUACUUAGUUUAAAAGGGAAAAUGGGGAUGGGGUGGAGGAAAAGAGAAGUCCCUUUUAUACUCCUGCUGGUGGCCUAGGUAUUACAGGCUCCUGGGGUCUGAGAGAGGGUUGAGUGGAAGGUGAUAUUCUAGCCAACUUUUCAGGACAUCCCAUUUGCUCAAGGCAAAUAGUGAUCCUGAUUAGUUAGGCCAAAGUGAUCAAAAUUGUCCCCCAUCAGCUGCCUGCCUGCCUGUCUGUCUACAUCUGCCUUCCACACACCAAAGGGCCUGUUUCUGGAGCCAGUGUCUUGAGGGCAUCCUAACACUUUCCUAGCCCUACUCUACACAUUCUCAAUUCAUUGACUUUGCAGCUGGUUUGACCUGUAGUUUAUUUAAAAAUGGUGGACACCUUCCUUCUUUUUUUACUGGGAUGUGGGGUGGGGGGAGGAAAAGAGCAUCCAAAACCAGCCAACAACACACCCAUUGGGGGCCUUAAGCCUGGUCCUUUUCAGCAGCGUGUGCUCCAAUUUAGCACACGCCACCCCAAGGUCCCAAAUAAGGCCUGGUGUCUCUCACCUCAAUAUUGCACUUACCCUCUCUCUCCUCAGAUUAUUUUUUCUUUUCAAUUGAGAAUGCAAAGUAUGGGGGAAGAGGAAAGGGAUAGGAAGAAUAACCUAAGAGGAAUAAAAUAUUAGUAAAAUAUAAACACAGGAAAGUAAGAAUAAUUUUAUCUUUUCUUAAAAAAAAAAGCUACCAACCAAAAUCUAAAUUUAAAUAGCACUAUGUCUACCUUGCAAAUACUAGUAAUAUGAAAAUAAUGAAG
rnacentral:lncRNA from 1 species